CUUCCAGUCUCUGAUACAUCCUCUCUCAAUCAGGUGAGUAUCUAGACCUUCUCUUUCUUAUAUUCCUUUUAUCUUCUCAAUGGAACAUUAGCUUCUUCGGCGAUUGCUUUAUAUAUAAUUUGUUUUUGAAUUGAGCUUUUGUACGUGUUAUUUUGAUAUUUAGAUUUCAACAUUGAAGAUUCAACUCGAAAAUUUACUAAAUAGUUAAUAGAUAAUCAACAAAAUUUAUCCUUGGAAAAAAUAUUCCUUCUUUUCUCUUCUUCUAUACAAGCUUAUGGUUCUUAUUAUACCACGCAAACCCAGUCCAUUUUAUGACCAUUUUUGUGCAUUGCUUCCUCCCUCAUAGACAUUCAACCACCACCUAACCGUGCCCACCUACGCCUCUAAAUUCAAUUAUUUAAUUGGGUCAAGUUGUUUGAUUUCCGAUUUUUGUUUGCUUGUUCAUAAUUGUUAUGAUUCAGGAGCAAAUUAUUAGCA
rnacentral:misc_RNA from 1 species